UGCGUAGGCGGACUAAUAAGUCAGUGGUGAAAUCUCUCGGCUCAACCGGGAAACUGCCAUUGAUACUGUUAGUCUUGAGUUCGGUUGAGGUAGGCGGAAUGUGUAAUGUAGCGGUGAAAUGCUUAGAUAUUACACAGAACACCAAUUGCGUAGGCAGCUUACUAGACCGACACUGACGUUGAGGCACGAAAGCGUGGGUAGCGAACAGGAUUAGAUACCCUGGUAGUCC
rnacentral:rRNA from 1 species